rnacentral:rRNA from 3 species
GCAACCCCAGGUCAGGCGGGACUACCCGCUGAGUU